AUGUGGGUUCCGGUUGAAACCGCCCCUCCCCCUAAUGCGCAUGAACUCCACUCCCUCUCCCCUCCUUCGCCCACAUUACUUCUCCGUUUCGCGCACCGCGACUCGCAUUCGCCAUUGCUCUCCCUCUCCUCCGAGUAUCUUCUCCAUCCAUGGCGUUUCCGGGCGGCGGCGCCGUCUGGUUCUCGGCGGGCGGCGGCUGGUUCGCAGGGCACAAUACUGGGGAAGCGCAAAGGAGAUGGUGAUGACAUUGAUGAAAUUCCUUCGAAAAAGCCGAAGUGCCCUCCCCCGCCUCCGCGGAACAGGGCCUCACCUAGUUCUCUUUUGCUUGCCUGCAAAGAUAUGCCUCAAGACAGGCAAGAUGCCAUUGAUGAGAUGGACUUCACAAGCCUUCAGAACAUCAAGUGCGGCCAUCUUUCCAACGGUCUCAAUGUGUGGCUUGCCGGGUUGGACGACCUUGAAUCCCGUGAGGUGGUCGUUCCAGGGCGGGGCAGGCUUCCUGUUAAAGAAGAAUAUGUCCAUCGUGUGAUGGGCGUGCCACGUGGAGGGAAGGAUAUUCCUUACAACAUUCCUACUAAAGCUGAUAUCAAGUUAGGGCUUGAUAUGUUUGGUGAAUUUGGAUAUACCCAUAAAAUGACAGAGCUUCUCGAUCUCAUCACGAGUUCUGACAACUCUGACACCAAUUUCAAGCGGAUGUGGCUUAUGCUUGCGGGCAAUACUGUCAUCGCCCCGACAACAUCCAAGAAGGUCAACCCCAGGUGGUAUGUUGUGUUGCGAAACAUUGACGAUGUUAAAAAUCUGAACUGGUCCAAGUUCAUCGCUGAUGAACCUCACAAGGCUGUUUCAAAAGGCAAGCCUACCAAGGGUUGUAUUCUUUUCUACAAUGUUAGUGCUACCGCUUUCCUUUGCUUUCCUUUUGUCAUUUUAUUUUUCACAUUUCUUUGUUGUUGUUUGUGUGUAUCCUGA
rnacentral:rRNA from 1 species